GAACUUUUUGAUUCAUUUUGGAAAGGUAAGACCGAAUUUCAUUUUUGAUCCUGGCAUUGGGUUAAGCAUCCCAAUUUUGAAUAAGCAUCUGAAAAGAUCAUUUGUGUUUAUAAUUUUUAGUGUCUCUAAUUCCUUUCAUUCUCGUGUAGGUGACACUCUAAAUUGUUUCCCUCUUAAAGAGGGAGGGCAUGGAAAUAAUUCAAUUUCUUAUCGAACC
rnacentral:lncRNA from 1 species